CGGCAACAUGGCGCCAGCAUCAGGUGCUCUAAUUACGCUAACCUGUUGCAUUGCUUUCCAUUAUAUGUCUAUAUAAAAUUAUUUAAAAACAUAAACAAGAACAGUUGUGAGUUAACUGUGGUCAUGAUGAAGAGAGGUCUGGUUUUGGAUCACAGCAAAUCACCAUGUGAGGAGAAUUUCUUACCAGACAAAAACGUAAAGUUUGCCUUCACACACAAUAUUCACUACAUCAAUUUCGUAGUUUCCUGUAAUAUAUUUAAUCAUUGUGGUGUUUUGUUUAUUUUAAAGUUGUUCAAAUACCAUGUCCCAGACUGAUAUUUUCACCAGUUAUCAAAUAGAUUUGCUCACAUGGUGAUGUCUGUGUCAGAGGCAGGUGGUAGAAACUUCACAGGAGAAGGGGAAACAUGGUAACUGCUGCCCCUAUGAACGACGGAAGGUACCUCACACAGAUCUCGACCAAUCAGAGAGCCUAAACAAACCAAUUUUAAUUACUGCAAUUAUUUGCGGUUAUAGUGGUUCAUUAUAUGCAAAUUGAUUGUCUGUUGAACGUGAAGGAGUUACAAGCGUGCCGUGAUGGUGUUAUAAUUUUUGUCUUGCUUCUUGCAGUAUAAACAUGAAAACGAAAACGUGCUGCUGCAGGGUGCUUGUCAUACAGCAAGCAAGGCAUCAAAUUCUUCAGCUUUCCAAGGGUUCCAGCACGGGCUGCGGUAUGGGCAGGAAAAGUUGGAAUAUCCUGCACUAUUGAUUCUGCUAGAAUGGUGCACAAUAAAUAUUUGUGCAGCAAACAUUUCCAGGAAAGUGAUUUCACUACUGCUGAAAGGGUACACCUGAAUAGAGUAGCAGUUCCAUGUGGCUCAGAUUCUGUUUCACAGUCACUCCCACAAUCACCUGUCCCUUCAUUGAAUCCCUUGCCUCAUGAAGACUGUACUCAUGUUGUAUUUCCCACCACUUACAACAAGACACUGGUGCCAUCCCCUGUAACACAUAUUCCUGUCCAUGCACAUGGUCCUUCCACUUCCUUUAAAAUGUUUGCAGUGCAACCAUUAUCAACAGCAGCCACCAACUUUUGCAGUGAAAGAAACCACGUUUCUUCUAAGCCCUGUAAAAAUAAAUGCUGCUGAUGGAGAACUCAGGCAUAUCAAUCAUUGCAGCAAGCCACAACACUGUACUGGCUACUGUGGGGUGUUGUGGUGAAUACCUGGCAACAGCUAUUUGAUGAACACAUUUGAAGCUAUUCGUUCGUAGUCUGGUUUGAACAAUAAUCCGACUGCGGGACAGUUUGUAGAUGCCCUGAAGACUAACAUCAUCAGUGCACUUGCUAUCAUAGGUCUGUGUGGAACUGUUUGUGAGUAUGAUGGUGCUACUGUUGUGGGUAACCUGCAGUCAUUGUUCAGGGCACCUGAGGCUUCACUAAAUCUGUCCACAGGUCAUGGCAAGGUAACCCUGAUGAAGUUCCUGUGUUUCCAUGUUACUCAGCAAGUACAGAAGGACAUGGUUGCUGCAGUUCAUGCUGGUGACAUGGAAGUGUUCUCAGUAGCCUAUGUCAGUGGUUCCGUUGCCAGACACGUGCUUCGUGGUGUCAGCUGUGAUGCAUGCAAGACGUGCGUGACAUCUGAAGUGCUGCUAUCAGCCUAUGCCUUCAUAUAUUUCACGGAGUGCAGUGAUACAGUACAGUCUCUCACCUGUCAUUCUGAGACGUUGGUGUGGAGACUGUUGGUAUGCUGUAACUCUAAUGAAAUCUAUGAUGGCAGGCAAUUCAAUUCAUAUUGCAGCAUAUCACAGCUGCCAUUAAGAGCACCAUUGACUUGGCGUGGAUUAGGUGUACCGGUUGUUCACUUCACUACCAACAAAUAAUAGAUGGUAUUGUGAGAUAUCUCACAAGAAUUUACAUUCCUUGGUGGUGUAAGCGAACAAACAGGUUGAUGACGAUGACCAAAGCAGAUAGGCAGAGGGCCACAAAGUGGAAGAUUAAGCUACUGACACAUAAGUAAGUCAUUAAGAAAGUAAUGCUUCUUCAUUUUUGCCUUGUAGUAUCCUGCCCAUACCAGCCCUGGAAAUCGGCAGAGAGGAGUUAUUGAAUUACUGGAAUAAUAUAUUCCAAUUGAUCACAUGAGCAUCAAUAGAUGUUUCAUAAGUUGGAGAAAGUAACCCUGGCGACAAGCAACUACCAUGCCUUCACAUGCUGUUGUAUGGAGUAAUUUGUUGAUAACAUUGUCACCUCUAGUCAUAUUACAUACAAGAAACCUAUUCUGAUCUUGAAUCCAUCUCUUCCUUGCUUUGGAGACCUGUUUCCUUCUUCGCACUAUAUUAGAACAUCAUUGUCAGAAGAUGGUCAGAGUUCAUUCUGCCCUGUAUCUGAAAAUAAUUAUAUUUCAAUCAAGAAUUGUGUGGGAAAUUCUUUUCUGACUCAAAUGGUUCUUGUUUAUAUGUGGGUAAGAAUGAAGUGGCAUUACUUUAUAAUUGACUUGCAAUCUUCAGGUUACCUGAUUCAGCAUGAAACACCAAGGAGCAAAAUCAAUGUCAGGAUUCACUGUGUGUUUUGUAAUUAAGUUUAUUAACUACUUCGUAGGUAGGAAGUUUACUUAUUAGUGUUUACAUAUUUUAUUCAUCUAAUUUGUUAUUAUGGGUAUAUCCCUUCAGUCACUAAAUUAUUUUGGCCACAUUACUGUGUUCAGCAUUGAACUUGUGAACAUAUAUACAGGAUGUCCCAGGAGGAAUGUGCCAAACUUCGGGAGGGUG